GGGGAUUUAGCUCAGCGGCAUAAGCGCCUGCCUUGCAAGCAGGCAGUCGUAAUCCCUG
rnacentral:tRNA from 1 species